GAGAGUCCCUACCGGAAGUGUGGCAGAAAGGAGCCAUGUGGAGUCUCAGGGUAGCUUGUCGCAACGCUGCGUUGCGCCUAGAGGGCAGGCGAGCCGUUUUCCCUUCUUUUCCUCUUUUUCCUUCCCUGGGUCAGGCCGUCGCAUGUAAGGGCGCCGAGGGGCAGUUGCUGCCCAGGCGGCUCGGCCUCGUGGUCAGCUGAGGAUGAGGUUAAGAUGGACGCGUUACCGGUUGCCACUGAAAUAUUUUGUGUUUAAAAUGUGGUUGCGUGUCCGGAGAUGUAAAAUUACUCAUUU
rnacentral:lncRNA from 1 species